UUUGUAAAUUUAUUUUUAUUUUUAUUCUUAUUUAUUUUGUCACAUCUUUACUUGAGUGUUCAUGCGACAUUUGGAAAAACGGUGCAAUUGAGCAAGGCUGAAUUACUUAUUUUUACAUUUAUUGACCACUUUCAUUGAAGCUAAGCUAUAUAAUGAAUGCAACGGUUAUGUGAGAUUGAGUAAGAAGUGUUAUGGAAUAAGCAAAGUUAAAUCAGUAGCUUUAAUUUUUUGUUGUUUUUAAUUUUAAUUUGCAAACAAACAAACAAAAACGUAUUCAUAUCAUACACCUAAUAUUCAUUCUUUUUAUUAAAAAAGAAAAAAAUAAGCACUAGUAAACUUGAUUGGUUCUAUUUAUUUGAAUGAAAGUAAACUUCGUUAUUGAAACACGAAUAGGAAUAUCAGACAACAUAUACGAGUGUCAAGAAUAAAGAAGAGUUUUUAGAUUUAAAGCAGUUUUGAAUGAAAAAACUCCCAUAAAAUGAUUAAAUCACAUUCAUUGCAAUAGGAAACUGUAUUCGGUAUAUACAAUCGGUAUUGCAUGUUGUACCAAGUAUAAUAUAGUGAUGAGAUUUUGAAGUUUGUGUUCUAUUACCACAUGGAACUACGUCAGGAGUGGAGACCAUAAUCAUUGUAAGUAUGUUGAAAAACUUUAUCCAAAGGGUAAAAACUCAGUUCUUCGAAUUAUAAAUCGGACCAGAGUUGCCGCAAUUGAAACGAAUUAGAUAAGUGAACAGGACAUGCUUAGCAAGUACAAACCAGUAUAAUUAGAAUUGAAUUAACAAAGGUAAAACUUGAACGUUCAUGUUUGUAUACUCAAAAGAAUCAACGGAGUUGUGAAAUUUUCUUAGUGGAGUUUACUCAUUGAUUUUUUACCACUUACACACAUAAGUCUUAUACUUGCCAAGUUGAAUGGUACCAUUAGUACCAGUACUAGUGUCAUCUAGUGUCAGUACUAGUGUCAGUAUAGGCAUCAACAUCAUCACCAGUAUCGGCGCCAGCAUCAGCACAGCACCACUACCACUACCACUUCCACUUACCACAAGCACUACCACCACCACCACCACUUCCACUUACCACUUCCAUUACUACCACGACUACCACUAACCAUCACCACUUUCAUCUCCAUUCUUGUCAUUAUUGGCUUGUUGUACGUUGUUUAAAUGUUUCAACGUAUGUACAUUUGUGACUACGAUUUCUUGUUAGCGAUAUAAACGAAGAGGAUAAAGACUUUGGAGUAAAUAAUUUUGGCCGUGCCACUAGCAUAAUGUAUUUAUGCGUCUAGGUAUCCUGCGUCUCGGUAUCCUUAGCGUUGCAAGUGGAAAGUGGCUUCACACUAUAAAUGGUUGACACAGCUAAUACAUUAGACAUAAACUUUCUCAGCAUUCACGAACAGUAAAAAUACUAUUGGUAAAUGAUUCAUGGAUAUAUAG